GGGUACUAGAAGAGGGCAGGCCAGGCACCCGGCAACAAGAAGCUACGCACCAUCGCACCAGCUGCUGUGGAGCUAGAAGGUGGAGCUAGAAGGCUGAGUGCGGCUGUGGGAAGACUCCAAUGGCAUCCCAUCUUCAAGCCCCCUGCAGCCAUCGAUGAGAUGUGGGCCAACCAGCAGCGACACCUGCAACUUAUCCAGGACCCACCAGACAUGGCCAUGUACCACGUUGCCCGCACCACAAAACAUCAAUGGUGUGGACCUGUAUUACAAGGCGCUGCAUGGAAGCAACAGACCUGUAGGGAUUCCACAAGUCACUGCCCCAUAUGUUUCCAGGUCCCUGCUGUGCAGGAUAGCUUUCCCAGAUCUACAGUAUCGCAUCAGUGGAAUCUCCAGGAAGAACUCUGACCACAGCUUGGAUGCCGUGUUUGGGGGUGAAGGCCAGGCACCACCGAGUCUACUCUGGGCUGCUCAUUGACCGCCUCAACUCCCGCUACCAGUAGCUGGUGAGCCUCUGGAAGAGAACUUCAGGGCCACGGCCAGUCAGACGAGCUCCUUUGGCUCGAAUAUCUUUUCAAGCAGAGGACAGGGGAGUCCGUCCUUCUGGAGGGCAUAGUCAGCAACGGUCCUGGGCCAGAAGAGGAGGAGGUCAUUAAGCCUGGGCAGGCCGAAGCAGAUGCUGAAGCAGACGCAGUGCACCAGAGGGAUGAGGACCAAUCUGAUGUCGAGCCCCGCAUCACAUCAGCAGUGAGACUGCUACAGUCAACCCUCCUGCCUUUGAGGAUGUCUGCAGUGACGAUCCUCUGGCCGAUUUUCAGAAGCUGGAGGCAUUCUGUGCCGCGCCGAUGGAAGUCGACUUGACUGAGCAGAAGCUGCUCCUCAACACAGUGCAAAGGAACGGGGUCCUUGAUGCUUGGAGUGUGGCUGAGGAGCAGCCACAGAAAUAAAGCUGUACUGCACACACUCGGGCAACACCUCAUCCUGCCGUACAAAGAGGGAGGAUCUUGCAGAUGACAGGGUGGACCAGUGGGUGAAGAUGACCAAAAGGUCCUGCUGUGCUGGUACGUAACGUCAGUACCUUGUGCUUGUCAAGCUGCUGUGGCUGCGCUCCUCUAAGGCCUCUCGCUGCAGUCCCAGAAGGCCAGCAUCCACAAGGCCUACGAGAGGAUCCAGCACCGGGUCUCGAUGGAGGACGAAUUCUCCUCACCGGCAGAGGCAGAAGUGGCUGAGGAGGAAGCUGAGGAGCAGGCUGUGCUGGAAUGUGUGCUGUGUGUGGGGACGUACUCCAUCACAGGGUAGUCAGGUGGAGGGAGGGCGGCAAGCUGGCACGCAGCAGGAGGCAGCUCUUCAGACGACACCGAGGAGGUCUUGGAGAUGACGGCUGGCUGCCUUGUGGGGUGCAGGUUGGUGGAGGACCCACUCCUGUACAAAGCAGGCAUCCCCGCCUCCCAAAAAUAAGCACGAAAAUCAGUCAGGGAUUUUAUCCGCCAGCAGGAGAAGUACGUGUACGAAGGAGUACGUGCCCACGCCCAGCACAGCCGGCACAAAGGUGUUGGAGGGACGGACCAACAUGCUGCUCCACAGCCUCCUCCUCAGCCACUUCUACCUCUGCCGGUGAGAAGAAUCCCCACCACCUCCACCAUCACUAGGCCUGUGCUGCCCCUUCCUCUCCUGUGCUGCCCCUUCAUCUCCUGUUGUGCCCCGUCCCCCAUCACCAGGCCUGUGCUGCCCCCUCAUCUCCUGUUGUGCCCUGUCCCAUGCCCCAUCACCAGGCCUGUGCUGCCCCUUCAUCUCCUGUUGUGCCCCGUCCCAUGCCCCAUCACCAGGCCUGUGCUGCCCCUUCCUCUCCCGGCCUGUGGGCCCCUCCCCCAUGUACUGUAGCCCAUGAUGCCUGCUGGUCAGGCGAUCAUCCUGGUCACACCGCUGUGCGCCCAUCAGGUUGGCUUUUCAGUCGGCCACUGGACAGAACUCGUGGUGUGUGUGUCUGUGUGUGUCUGUGUGUGUGUGUGUGAUAUUUUAUACAUAUUAUUUUUGCACAGAGUUUAUAUUAGAAUAAGUUUCCCUAUUUAAAUGUACUAGAACACCAUAAUGUAGCUGUAAUAAACCCUACUUCUAUCUCAU